rnacentral:lncRNA from 1 species
AGGGCCUCUAGCAGGAAGAGAGUUAUCAUCAGAGAUAACUUUUUGCAUCACAAAGACUUAUGUACAUGGUAUGGCAAACAUUUGUUUACCAAAGUUUGCUCUUCCCAUCUUCCUGUGAGUUGUCUUUCUAUUCCUUUGAAAUCCUAGACCCCCUACCCGUUCUCUUUAGCUCAGAGUGGCAUAUAAGCCUCAAUCACCUGACUGUUAGGGAACCCCAUACUUCUGGGGUAGCCAUAUGAACAAACUUAAUUUUAUUUUUUAUCUUGUUAAUCUGUCUUAUGUCAAUUUAAUUAUUAUACCAGGUAAAGAACCAAGAAGGGAAGAAAAAUUUGUCUACCCUACAAUAGGAAAUGAAUCACAGAAAGAGAAAGCAAUCAAUUCAGAAUCCAUUGCCUACAGUCCUGGAAUAAGUCAUUACCAAUUAAAUGAAGUUACACUUGAAAGAAAACUAUUUUCCAUUCCUGAUACAGAUCAUUUUCAUGAAUACAAACAUCAAGAAUAAAUUACAGUAAAAAAAUUGUUAGCAAUUGUACCAGAAACUGGGUACUGUCAUCAUUGUUCAAUGCAGAGGGGGAUUCUAUACAUGUCCCCAAAUUGCCCUCCAUAAUGUUUACCAAAAAUUACUCCACAGUAGGUUGUUUUAAAUUUUUCCAAUAUCAAUGCACAGUUUUGUAAUAUAAAGAUUUAUAUAUUUUCAUUGUUGAAAAUUCAACUCUAUUUUAAGAAUAGGAUAUUGCAGAGCUAUGGCACUGAAAAACUUAUGAAAUGGCUGUGAUAUACAUAGUUUUUGAUACUUUUGGCCAAUUUCUGAACGUAAUACUUUAUUAAUUUAUGCAUUAAAUUCAAACUUUCUUCUCUUGAUUGCCAUACUUUUUUAGGAUUCUUAUUUUUUAUGGUUCUUUAACCUGAACCAUUCACUCAUGACCGAAAAGUUAAGUACUAACUCGUUUUUCUAAAGAAUAUUAUUCUCCCUGAUGAAAACACUAUCUCUUCUUUAAAUCCUCUUCUUCUUAAAGACCCUUUCAAACUUCUUCCAACUGGGAAGUGUUCAGUCUCUAUUCUGAUUACUGAUUUUCAUCAUCUUUCCACUUCUUAUGAAAUGUCUAGUUUUAUUAAGCGUCGAUGGUGAUACUGUACAAGAUAUUUUCAGACCAUUUGACACGAGCAAACUUGAACUAAGCAGGUUAGAAAGACACCACAAAGGAGAACUAGAAAUUCUUUCAUUUGUAUUCUAUCCCUUGAAUUGCUU